CCUACGGGUGGCAGCAGUAGGGAAUUUUCGUCAAUGGGCGCAAGCCUGAACGAGCAAUGCCGCGUGAACGAGGAAGGUCUUCGGAUCGUAAAGUUCUGUUGAAGGGGAAAAAGAGUGGAGAGAGGAAAUGAACUCCGAUUGAUAUUACCCUUCGAGGAAGUCACGGCUAACUACGUGCCAGCAGCCGCGGUAAUAGGUAGGUGGCGAGGGUUAUCCGGAUUGGUUGGGCGAAAGGGGUGCGUAGGCGGCCUGCUAAGUCUGGAGUGAAAGGUACCGGCUCAACCGGUAUAGGCUCUGGAAACUGGCGGGCUAGAGAGCAGGAGAGGGCGGUGGAACUCCAUGUGUAGCGGUAAAAUGCGUAGAUAUAUGGAAGAACACCAGUGGCGAAGGCGGCCGCCUGGCCUGUUACUGACGCUGAGGCACGAAAGCGUGGGGAGCAAAUAGGAUUAGAUACCCGUGUAGUC
rnacentral:rRNA from 1 species